rnacentral:ncRNA from 4 species
UGAGGGGGGCUGCUCCUAGUACGAGAGGACCGGAGUGGACGCAUCACUGGUGUUCGGGUUGUCAUGCCAAUGGCACUGCCCGGUAGCUAAAUGCGGAAGAGAUAAGUGCUGAAAGCAUCUAAGCACGAAACUUGCCCCGAGAUGAGUUCUCCCUGAGACUUAGAGUCUCCUGAAGGAACGUUGAAGACGACGACGUUGAUAGGCCGGGUGUGUAAGCGCAGCGAUGCGUUGAGCUAACCGGUACUAAUGAACCGUGAGGCUUAACCUU